CCUACGGGAGGCAGCAGUAGGGAAUAUUGCUCAAUGGGGGAAACCCUGAAGCAGCAACGCCGCGUGGGGGAAGAAGGUUUUCGGAUUGUAAACUCCUUUUGUUAGGGAAGAUAAUGACGGUAUCUAACGAAUAAGCACCGGCUAACUCCGUGCCAGCAGCCGCGGUAAUACGGAGGGAGCAAGCGUUACUCGGAAUCACUGGGUGUAAAGAGAGCGUAGGCGGGAUAGCAAGUCAGAUGUGAAAUCCUAUGGCUUAACCAUAGAACUGCAUUUGAAACUGUUAUUCUAGAGUAUGGGAGAGGUAGGCGGAAUUCUUGGUGUAGGGGUAAAAUCCGUAGAGAUUAAGAGGAAUACUCAUUGCGAAGGCGACCUGCUAGAACAUAACUGACGCUGAUGCGCGAAAGCGUGGGGAGCAAACAGGAUUAGAUACCCCUGUAGUC
rnacentral:rRNA from 1 species